UCCGGUUUUCACGACCAAGUCACGGUCAGACUGCUUUUGCUUUUAAAGGCAUUCUUUUCACCACAUGGGCAAUACCCAUGAAUAUAACUUGUUUUCUUUUUGCUUCGUGUCAUUUGUAUACCUAUGAGAACAAGCAACAUGCUUUGUAGCGUUUUGUUAAAAACGGCUUUUCUUUGCUUCCGUAAUGGCGGCUAAAUUUAACAUGGUCAAAGUUACUGUCGAGCAUGUGUGUGAGCUUCAUAUUCUGUAAGAAUGUGCGCUUCAUUGACACAUAUAUGAGCCGAAAAGCAUCUGUUUGUAUUUUGCAGUUUUACAAUAAAGGAAUAAGACAAAGGGACCUGAACAUCAGCUCUGCAUCAUUAUUCUUGGUCCAUCGUAUACCGUUGUGUAGAGCUUGCUGGAUAACGAAAUAGCAAAAGUAGACGAGGCUGAAGCUAGUUACUUAUUUGCAGCUCCCGAUUCGUUUGGCUCCUUAUUCGCGGUUUCUCUUUUAGUGAAUGACGGCAGAAUGAAGGGACAACACAAACGCCAUAUGCUGCGCAGUUUCCCAUUUUAACUGACUCGGAGAGACUAAUGAAGGAGACAUUCUAAUGAAGGAAUUAGGAAUGUGUGCUGUGUUUAUCUUACCAGUGUUCGUUUUUUUUCUCCUUUGCGUUACUACACGUCGCCCCCGCCCCCGCCAAAACGUUGAUUUGAGAAUAUCUGACGGCCGAUUGUUUUCGUCAUUGCUAACAGUUUGUUACAUUAGAAUCGCAUUAAUAUCAUAGCAAAGACCACAAAUGGAGUACAGAGUGGGCACAGAGUUCGAUGAUGGUGCCUUGGCUAUCAAGUACAGUUUAUAUUUCUCUUCAGCAUGGCGUGGAAAUUUUUCAGAAAUUAAAAUGAAAGAUGUGUAUCUGCUGGGAUAGGCUCCAGCACCCCCGCGACCCUGAAGGGAAGUAAACAACACAAGCACAUGGACAAAAAUGGAAGGGGCCAAUCGUGACACUAAUAUGUAAUAGAAUUAAUCAACUAUAAUGAACUAAUUAAAAUACAAAACAGGCUGAUAUGGAGAAUCUACAGACAACUGACACAGACGAGCCAUAAGGCCCACAUUUGAAGCAUAACAUAUGCCAACAGAUUUUGAAAGCAAACAAGUGGUGCAUUGAAAACAAAGCCAAUUUCAAGGGAGAGGUUGCACCACCACCACUGCUGUAUAUGACAAGCGAUGAGGCAAAUGAGGCCCUGCGCAAAUUUGACUUACUGCCUGAGAUUCUCAGUGAAGAUGAAAAAGCUAAAAUCCUUGUAAAUUUUUCAUUUUUCUUCACAGAAAUUAAAGAUACACAUUUCUUUCUAGAAAACAUAAGAGACAAAAUGAAGCUUAGAGUUUGUUGCCAAAAAAUUUAGAUUCAUGCACCCAUAUUAGGCCAUUGAUCCUCAUUAAGCCAAGACUCUAAACUGUAAAGCCAAGACUCUAAACUCUUACAAGGGUAAACUCUUAUUGAUUAGUUAUACUUGUAACUGAUUGUUAACCUUAUUCAUUUGCAUGUUUGCUUAUGUGUGUUUGUUUCUGUGUUUGAAACUGUUUUUGGAGAAAAGACAUUUUAUUUUUAUCCUUUAAAGGAUAAACUUAAAAAUAAUUAUACUUUUACAGUUAUUUGUUUUUGCUGAAGUUAAUAUUGGUUUAGGCUCCUGAAAGGGUCACCUCAAAUGCUUAAUUUAUUUUUAUUGCUGUAACUGAUUGUUUUAUCAGUUAUGCCAUUACUGUUUAUUGAUUGAACAACAUUUUUACUUUAUAUUUACUUCAAUAACUUUUGUUGUUGUUUAUUGGUUGUUGUUCACUGGAAUAUUUAUUUAUUUAUUGUUAGUUUUUGAUUGAUAGAGUGAUUGUUCCAUGUGUGUAGCACCUUUUUCUAGAAAAGUAGACAAAAUUGUUCAUGUUUUGGUGAGAUCAGUGUUUGAUAAAUAUUUCUUUAUAUGA